UCAUCAAGUGCGAGGACGUUAGAACCCUGCCAAAGCGUCUGAGCCUCCGAGGUUGUUAAUUAAUUCAUCAGGAACGGAGAAGGCAGCCGCUGCCCGGCGCCGUGUGUCGGCGGGAGCAGAGCAGACGCAAAGCGACCCUGCCGAGGAGGGACCCAGAUCAAGGGGCUCCGCUGCGCGCGGCAGGGACGGAGAAGCGUCUGUGCGAAGAGCCGGGGCCGCUGAGCCUCGCUCGCCGGGCUUCUCGGGGGAGGCAGAGCUGACAGGCGCGCGGGGAGCGCCGGGCCGGUGGCGCUGGGCGGCGGCGCUUCGGCAGCAGAAAACUAACUGGUGGAAGCAGGCCAGCGCUGUUGUCAUCAGCGCAGCGAACAGAGCCCCCAGGCGGGGAGGGUCCGGCGGCCCCCCUGUAGCCGCUGCUACAGUUGUUCUGGACAGAGAGGACGCUGCUAAAGGAGCAGGGAGGGGCCUGCUGGUGCGGCAAGAGGCGGCAGGAGUUGCUAGUUUGUCUUGUUGUUGUUGUUGUUGUUUGUUUGUUUGUUUUUGCGGUACGCGGGCCUCCCUCUGCUGCGGCCCCUCCCGUUGCGGAGCGCAGGCUCCGGACGCGCAGGCGCAGUGGCCACGGCUCACGGGCCCAGCCGCUCCGCGGCACGUGGGAUCCUCCCGGACCGGGGCGCGAACCCGGUUCCCCCGCAUCGGCAGGCGGACUCUCAACCACUGCGCCGCCAGGGAAGCCCUUUAUUGUAUCUUUGUAACCGAGCCGCCUACCAACAGACGACGUUCUCUGAUAAGUAUGAGAGAGAGUAUUAGAUGCUUCGCUAACAGAAAACUGUCUUUGGAUGAUACUGCUUCUUGGUGAAUAAGUGUACACAAAUAAGGUGAAGGACGCAUGAACCAUUUACAAGAGGAAGAACUGGAAUUGGCUUUCUGUAACGAUGUUUUACAAAAUGUCUCCGUUUGCCUUCACCUCAUCGCCCCUAUGUUAGGUGACAAUAUGUCUCUUUACCUGCAGAGCUGAGCACCACCUUCUGAACCACCGUGACCAUCAAGGGCCCACGCCCCGCGAAGGCUGCCUUGCACUCGUCCUUCUACUUUUAACUUCUCUGCUUUUUUAACUCGCUCUGGAGGCCAGAAGUUCAAACCGAGGUGUCAGCACAGCCGGGAUCCUCCAGAAGCUCCGGGGGAGAAGCGUCCCUGGAUUCUUGCAGCUUCGGUGCUAAGCCUUAGCUUUACCAAAACAAGAAGACCAGGUUCUUAUAUGCAGAGAGCCCACAGCCUAGUUGGAGAGAUGGACAAAUGAGGAAAUGAUCGCGAACAAAUGUGAGGGUGCUAAAUAUGCAGAGAAAUCGGAGAGAGGCCCUCCCCUGGGGUCACAUAUCAACUCAGAGCACAGGAAAAACUCAGGAGGCAAACUGGAGACAUCAAAUAUAAAUGACCUUCUGAGAAGUUUUGGUCCCAAAGGAGGAACUAGAAAAAGGAGCGGUGGUUGGUGCAGAAAGCGGGGUCAAAAGAAGAUUUUACUCUUUCUAACGAGAGAAACAACUGCAUGCUUGUGUGCUGUUGGAGACCAUCCAGGAGCGGGAGAAAAUUUGGUGAAACAGGAACAGAGGGAAGAUGGCUGGCGAGCAAGCUCUAGGCACACGUGGAGGAAUGAGCUUUAUAUAAAAACACCAGUAGUUCGUAAAGGCUGAGUUCAUGGGACAAACGCUGGUGAGUUGGAGAUAGAAAAGGGGAAUCUGGACUUUCUCUUCUGACAGCUUGGGCUUUCUCAGUUACAGAGAAAGAAGGUUCUCGACCGGGAGUGGUGAAGGCGGAGGUGUGAGAAGGCCGAGGCAGGGGGCAGGGAGGGUCCUCGCGGGCGCGGCGGAGGGGCUGCGGGCAGCGUGCGGCUCCUGGGGGUCCCCGGGCAGCCUGGCUUCGUGUUCGCCGUCAGCCUCGUUCACGUGCUCUGCUGUAGGUGUGAACUGCACGGAGCUGGAUUCGCUGCUCUUGUAAUGUGCCAAGCGGGAGAAAGCAAGAGCACUGCGGGUGACUUCAUGGGAGUGACUGCAAUGACAGUGGCAUUGAAGCUGACUAAGGAGCAAAAAGAAAAUGAAGAAGAUGAAAGGGCGUGAAAAGUGGUCGGACCACAGGAUUAGCCACUUCGGUGGGUUUUGGAGUCAGAGAACUAAGGAGACGUGCGGAAGCAAAGGAGCUGGUGGUCAAAGAGUUGGGUAAAGGGAAGAGAGGUCACAGGAGGGCUGGUUUAUGAGCGGUGACCCGGCCGGGGUGCUUGAGACACGUGGAGGGUGAGAGCUUCCGAGGACAGAAGUGCAGGAACGGAGAGCCCAGGGGCUGGGAAGAAGUGCCUGUGCGCAGGUGGACAGCCGAGAACUCGGGCGGAUCGGGAAUCAGGCGCACGUGUCUGAGAUAUGCAGGCUUGAGACCGGGUUUCCACAGAUGACGGCCUCGCUGAAGGAUGAGGUUCAACCCAGAGAAGGGAGGACGGAUGAUCUGAGCCACAGCAAGGGGCAAGUAGAAUACCUGUGCCAGCUCCCAGCGGUGGUAGUGGGGCUGCAGGGAAACAAACACAAGCCCUCACGCCUGGAGAGGUUUCUCAGUGGAGGACACUUAUGAGCCGUAAUGCAACCACGAUCCUCAGUGAAACUGUUAACUCUUAUAAACUGGGACCAGGGUCCUAUAGAGUCUGUUUUCCUCGUAGCAGGCAGCACCGUGCUUUGCGCUUGGUAGGAAGUCUUUGUUGAACGGGUUUUUAGUUUUCCUGUGCUAUCACUUUGCCCUGCUGCUCAGGCAAUAACUGGUUACAUUGGAAUCAAGAACAAAAGGUGAAACUCUAGGAUAGGUAGACCUUUCAUUUCACUCUGUUAGAAAUACUCAGUAAGCGCUGGAGAUACAAAAGGAAGUAGCAAACAUGCAUCUGAGGAAUUGACAGUGAACAAUAUGGCGGGAACCAUUAAAAUGGCGAAGCGAGAAGAAACCCCUUGCACAGAAGGACAUCUGAAAAGUGUUGUAGGUGGUAGGUGAGUAGGGCGGAGAUAAAGACUGAUGGAGAAUAAACUCCUCCAUGACAUGCAAGCUAAUUUAGAACUGAAUUACAAUUUUAUGAAUCCCAAGGAUAUUCUUACACGGGGUCAGAUCAAGCAGUGAUUCUGAUGAAUUUGCAAAGGUAAAUGCAGCCAAGAACAAUCCUCUUCAUUUUUGUCUACUGUCCUCCUCCUUACAUAUUCUUACUAAGUGAAUUGAGCAAAUCCAUGUUAUUGUGAAAUAUCAGUGAGAAAUAUUUAAAUACAUGUAAUUACAUUUUUCUUUUUUGGAUCUUCUUGGAAAAUUGGGUGGAGUUUCUAUCCACUCCAAUGCUUUAGAGGGUAGCUUCAGGGGCAGCUGUUAUUGAAUGAUGGAAUGAAGAAGAUGCAAAUACAGAGGCACAAUAAAAAGCCAUUUGUGUAUAAACUUAGGAAAGAAUGAGAAAGUAAAGAAUAUGAUAUUUUUAGCUUGUUUUUCUCCUACUUUGUUUUCUCUAAGUUUUCUUUUUAAUAGGAUGAUCAUUCAUUCCAGAAAUACAAUAUAAUUUUUUGUCUUUGUGGAUUUAAUUGUAACAACUUCAUGCUCUCUAAAGGUUUUCUUUUUUAUAAGGACAUGUGGUGGAUUAAAUAAUGGUCUAAAGAUUUCCAUGUCCUAAUCCCCAGAGCCUGUGAAUGUUACCUUAUAUGGCAAAAGGUCUUUGCAGAUGUGACCUAGGGUAAUCUAAAUUAGAUUAUCAUGAAUUAUCUGGGUGGGUGAUAUAAUCACAGUGGUCUUUAGAAGAGGGAACGGGAGAGUCAGUCAAGGAAGGUGAUGUGAGAACAGGAGCAGAGAUUGGAGGGCGGCAACCUCUGGGCCUGGAAGAGGCAAAGAACAGAGUCUUCCUAGGGUCUCCAGAAGGUGCCAGCCCAGCCAUCACCUUGACUUUAGUCCAGAAGUAUUUAUUUCUGACUUCUGACCCCAAUAACUAUAAUGUGCUGUUAUAGGCAGCUAAAUUUGUGGCAAUUUGUUAAGGAAACUAAUACAGUAUGUAUUACUUUUAAAUCAGAAAAAGUCAUUAAAAUAAAUAAAAGGGUGAAAAGUUUUCUAUUCUUUUAAAGUACAUAAAUUAGGAGUUUGGGAUUAAUAUAUAAAUGCACACUAUUAUGUAUAAAAUAGGCAACUAACAAAGAAUUAGUGUAUAGCACAGGAACUAUACGCAACAUCUUGUAAUAACCUAUGAUGGAAAAGAAUAUGAAAAAGACUAUGUGUGUGUAUAUAUAUAUGUAUAUUAUUUAUAUACAUAUAUAUAUAAAUCACUGCACUGUACACCAGAAACUAACACAAAAUUGUAAGUUAACUACACUUCAAUUUAAAAAUCUAUAAAAAGCAAAGUAGUUUAUAUUAAAGUGCAACAUUUACGGAAAAUCUCUCUACGCGUGUUCGCAUCUGUUGCCACCUUGACCUACAAUUUAAGAUUCACUGAAUAAAAGGAUCAAAGUGUCCAACUUUUUGCUCCCAUACAAAUUGCUAAGCUAUUUAUUUUAAAUAGCUUUCUAAAAUAAUUUCAGUAGGAACAGAUUGUGUCAUUUGGAAAGAGUUUUAUCAUUAAUUAGUUGCUUUUGUAAUUUGUUUUCUAAACUAGAUUUUGCAUGCAAGCAUCA